UAAGCAUAAUAAUGGCAAUAAACUAAUACUGAAGAUAGAGGAACUUUAAGAUCUAGAAUAUGCUGAAACAUCUCAUAUGUUGAUAUCCAACAUAUGAGAUGUUUAUCCAAGUGGUAACAUCCUGAAUCAACAUUAAAGGUGGCGUUAAGCCUAAUUGUAUUUGCAUAUUUUUAAAAAAUUUAGCUGCUUGAGGGCUUCUCUUAAAAUGAUCUACAAUUCCUCUUACUUUAUCUCUUAUUGCAGAUAUUGAUUUAAAAGCUGUUUGCUCCACUAAAUUUAAGGUAUGAGCAUAACAACCUACAUGUCUCCACCCACGCAAAUUAACAGCAUUAACUAUAUUGUGAGCGUUGUGCAUACAGCAAUGCAGUUACCCAAGCUCCAUUCAUUUAUAACUGCUAAUAAAUCAUUUUUCAAAUUUUCUGAUGUAUGUGAUUCAGAGUUUUUAAAACAAGAAAGAAGAUAUGAUUUUAAUUGACAAUCUUUAUCUAUAAAAUGGCAUGUAACAGCAAUAUAAUUUUCAUUUUUAACUGAAGUUCAACUAUCGGUUAUAAUAUCUUUGAAAGAGUUUUUCUCGGUGGAAGUGUGUAUCCAGGAUUCAGUAAUUUUAAAUGUUUGACGAACUCUCCAUCUUCAACGAUACUAGGAUAGUAUUCCUUGACAAUCAUUUUCAGAAUUUGUUGAUAAAUCGUUUUACGACGUGAAGCAACCAAUGACUUUGAUAAAUAAAGAAGAUUGAGAUGGAAUUUCUGAAGAGACGGCGGUAUGGCAAUUUAUGGAAUUAGAUGUUGAUAUAGUUGUACUUUAAAAAUAUAUAUGUUUACUAUUUAGUAGUAUAAAUAUUUACUUAUUUUUCUACUGUAUGCAUAAAUUAAUUAAUAAUUAUCAAAUAUUAAAUAUGAGAAUGAUUAUGUUUGUAAAUUGAAAUAGUAAUAUAUAUAUGGUAAUCAGAUAUAAGAAUAUG